rnacentral:misc_RNA from 1 species
AAGACUAUAGACCUGCGGAGUACCUGCGGAGGGAUCAUUACUGAGUUUCACAACUCUCUAACCCUGUGUGAACUGAAGUCUGGUUGCUCAGGCAGGCGGCCCCCGGGGGGAGCCGCAGCUUCUCUGAAGCGCCUGCCGGAGGAUACCUAAACUCGUUUUAACAUAUAAUCUUCUGAGUAAUAAAAAAAAAUGAAUCAAAACUUUCAGCAACGGAUCUCU